GCUGUACAAAAUUCGUUGUUCAAAAAUUGGAAAAUAUCUUUUUUAAUAACUGGUAAUGAAAUUAAGAGAAAAAGAGAACACAUUUCUUGAUAAUUUCUAAACUGGGUAAAACUCAAACGUCCCUUAUAUUUAAUAAGUGAUUCAUCAAUAUUUACAUUAUUUCAUGUUCAUUAUUUCUGUCACCUCUGUUUCUCUAUUAUUAUUAAAAUGUAAAAAAUGAGAAAUAGCUAAAAAUUAAAGGUUUCGACUUGCGUAAAAUUCAAACAGUGUAAUACCAGUAUGGUUUGAUUAAUCGGCAAGUAUUGUUUUCUUCAGAUUGCCCGAAAAUUUAGUAACGUUUACUAAGUUUAUGGAAGUUUACGGAAGUUUACUAACGUUUACUACUUAACGUUUAUUAAUUUAGUAAUAAAAUGUAUCAUUAUAACAAAAAGGAAAAAAUAAAUAUGGUAUAGGUUUGUGGUCAAACUCAAUAGAACGUGGUUCGUACGUGUGAAUUUUAUGCAGAAUUGUACUCAGCCAGCAGCCAGCAUUUUGAGCAUCUAAUAAAAUAAGAUCAGUUCAAUGUCAAGGUGUUUAGGUGGUUAUUAUUGUUGUUAUAUUGUUAUUAUUUUUUUUGGCGUUGCUUGGUCCUGCAUUUGUUUCUUUGUUCGUUUUCAACUAGGUUUAAUAACAGAUUAAUUUCCUAUUUAUUCCAUAGGUACUAUCGUGUGAUAAAUAGAUUCGUAAUAUACCCAUACCGUAAUAGAAUCUGAAAUGGAUUAUCCACUGGAUAAAUCAGAAAGAGCAGUUUCAAAAUCGGCGAGUUCUGCUAAAUUAAGUUGAUUGAGGCUCAAGUCAACUGUCCAUGCUAAACUAAGAUACCUGUACCACCUACCUCUUUCACUCCACCUGCUAUAUAAAUUAUUAUUUCAAAACAGUAGUACAAUGAUGUAUUAUAUAUUAUCGUAUAUUUAGGAUGUGUUAUAUAUAAUUAUAUAUUAUUGCAUCAAUAGAAAAUGAUUUUAUUAUGCGAGAAAGUGAUAAAGGAUGAUAUACAAGUUAGAUUUUUCGAGAAGAAGGACGGGCAAGUGGUUUGGGAAGGAUUCGGUGAUUUUGAACCUGAUAAUGUAUAUAAACAACAAUAGUAUUCAGAACACCAGCAUAUAGCAUGCAGGAAGUAACGCAACCGGUGCAAGUAUAUGUUCAACUGAAAAGACCAUCGGAUGGUGCGACAAGUAAAUCGUUACCUUUUCAGAUGUCUCCUUCCAAUGCAGGUAUCGCUGCAGUCACUUCUCCAUAAUCUAAUAAGCAAAUGUGGAGGACACAAGUAUCGACAGAAUGAUCACCAAUGGAGUACCAGCUAUACAUUUUUCCCACCUGUCUGGCAAUUGGUGGAUGCCACUCC